rnacentral:rRNA from 1 species
GGGUUGUGAGGUUAAGCGACUAAGCGUACACGGUGGAUGCCCUGGCAGUCAGAGGCGAUGAAGGACGUGCUAAUCUGCGAUAAGCGUCGGUAAGGUGAUAUGAACCGUUAUAACCGGCGAUUUCCGAAUGGGGAAACCCAGUGUGUUUCGACACACUAUCAUUAACUGAAUCCAUAGGUUA